rnacentral:misc_RNA from 1 species
GCAAACUUGGUCAUUUAGAGGAAGUAAAAGUCGUAACAAGGUUUCCGUAGGUGAACCUGCGGAAGGAUCAUUAUUGAAUAAACUUGAUGGAUUGUUGCUGGCUCCUACGGAGCAGGUGCACGUCUGUCAUUUUUAUCUUUCCUCCGUGAACCUUGCAUAGACCUGAAUAAUCACUUUGAUCAAAGCCUGCUUUGAUUUUUGGAAAUUGCUGUCAUUAGUGCAGCUCUUUCUGUUAUUUGGGUUCUAUGAUUUUUAUAUAUACUCCAAUGCAUGUUAGUGAACGUUAUGAAGGGCUUGUAGACCCUAUAAUCUAUAUAUUACAACUUUCAGCAACGGAUCUCUUGGCUCUCGCAUCGAUGAAGAACGCAGC